AGAGCCCCGAUCUUCUCUGCCAGCACCUGAAUUUCUUUGUUUGGCGGUUGUACAUCGUACUGACCAAACUGCUCAUUCAGCACAGAGAACUGAUCUUCUUCUUUAUCCUCCAUGGCCCCAAAGAAAGGAGGAAAUUGAUUAUCCUUCAGAUUGCCUGCAGGACCUAGCCCUCCGCCUGCAGCAAAACCAAAACCUCCACCGUUGUUGAUCACCACACCAGCAGUAGUCAUCUUCCUUCUGGGAUCACCACCAUCCCUA
rnacentral:lncRNA from 1 species